rnacentral:rRNA from 1 species
GACGAACGCUGGCGGCGUGCUUAAUACAUGCAAGUCAACUGAACUUAGGAUAGCAAUACUUUAAGGGAGGUGGCGCACGGGUGAGUAACACGUAGGCAAUCUGCCUUUAGGUCUGACAUAACCUACCGAAAGGUAGGCUAAAAUCAGAUGAUGCAGCGGCUCGACAUCGAGACAGUUGUUAAAUCUUCGGAGCCUAAAGAUGAGCCUGCGUCUGAUUAGGUAGUUGGCGGUGUAAUGGACCACCAAGCCUGCGAUCAGUAGCUGGUCUGAGAGGAUGAUCAGCCACACUGGAACUGAGACACGGUCCAGACUCCUACGGGAGGCAGCAGUAAGGAAUAUUGCUCAAUGGCCGAAAGGCUGAAGCAGCAACGCCGCGUGGAGGAUGAAAUACUUUGUAUGUAAACUCCUGUAAGAAGGGAAAAUGUUCCGAUUCAUCGGAAUUGAUUGUACCUUCAGAGUAAGCCCCGGCUAACUACGUGCCAG